GGAUCUCGCUGCACGCAGUCUGAUCAAUGCUCUGAAAGAUAAACCUGACGUGCUUUGCAGACUUGACUUGCAUAAAAGACACCAGGGCAGCGGGGGUCCGUUUUACCCACCGCUUCUACAAAAUCUGUGUCAAAUCAAAGAUCUGGAAGAGGCUGUACUCGGAAGAGGCACCUCGGUCUAGGUCUCCUUCCGAAGCCCGGACCAUUCAACAGCUCCCCACAAGCACGCACGACUCCGCCACGCAUCGCGCACUGCACAGCAUCGAUACCCGGACACCUGACGCCACCUGGGCUGCGCGAGUCAGGCUGUCAGCCCCGGGGUGUUGCUGGUGCGCAGGAAACACUGGGGCGGCCCAGCCCUCCUGGGCACGCUCGGCGGUAACCUUGGCACCAAGUGCCUCGACAGCACAGAACCUCCGUCCCCAUCAGAAAAUGCGUGCGGCUGUUCCCAAGAAUACGCUACGAUCAGGAGGACCCUUCUCUGCAAGGGAGAGCUUCAAAGGCCGGUUUUUGUCUCUCUCUCUCUCUCUCUCUCUCUCUGGUCCAAAACUCUCCAUAGGAGACGAGGCUACGAAUCUAGGAAACCCAGUUUCUAGGGGCAAUUCUGGAACAGCCCGCAGAGCAGCCUCGCCGAGCCUCGCCGCGCCGGAGCUCAGUUUUCCCAUCCGCGAAAUGGACAAUCGCCACCGCCCCCCGUCCCCGUCCCCGUCGCCGUCGCCAGGGAGUCGGGCGCGCCCCGGAAGCCCGCGAUCGCCCAGGGCGGCGAGCGACGAGGAGGGGCCGCUGCUGCCGGCGUACCUGGCUUCACGGUCUUGAGACGGACGGGCUCUCGGAAGUGGCGGAUGACGGCCAGGGUGUCCCGGUGGGUGAGCCCGCUGACGGGCGUCCCGUUCACCUCCAGCAGCACAUCCCCCGGGCUGGGCGCCUUGCCCGAGACCACGCAGCAGGUGCCGCCGCCGGGCUCCUCCCGGAGCCGCCCCAGCACAGCAAGAUGUCCCACACUCCUCCUCUUAGUUUCCUGCCACAAACCUGGAAUCAGCCUAUCUUUCAAGGUGCUCGGUUUCCUUUCAGCAAAUAAGAAGAAGAAGAAGGAGGAGGAGGAGGAGGAGGAAGAGGAGGAGGAGGAGAAGUUUUAAGAAAUAAAGCUGCCAUCAUGAAGGACACAGUAACAAUCUGGAGCAGGAGGUUCAUGACCAAUUGACCACUUCAGCAGAAACAGAUGGUCAUUGAUGUUCUUCACCUUGGAAAGAUUGUAUGUAUUUGUUCAUGAGAGACACACAGACAGAGGCAGAGGGAGAAGCAGGCUCUCUGCAAGGAGUCUAAUGUGGGACUUGAUCCUGGGACCCCGGGAUCAUGCCCUGAGCCAAAGGCAGAUGCUCAACCACUGAGCCAUCCAGGCUUUCCCAGAUGUCAUCUUUGUAUAUGGAUUCAGAACCCAUUUUGGUGGCAGCAAGACAACUGGCUUUGGCAUGAUUUAGGAUUCCUUGGAUGAUGCAAAGAAAAACAAACCCAAACAUAGACUUGCAAGACAUAGCCUACAUGAGAAGAAAAAGAGGUCAGGAAAACAGCAAAAAGGAUCCCAAGAACAGGCCAAAGAAAGUCAGGGAGACUGCAAAAGCCAUUGCAGUUCUGGCAAUAAUAAAAAAAAAGUGAGCUGGAUAUUGGACAACAGAAGGAGUAAAGAUUCUGCAGACUUUAUCUGUGAUGAUUGUGCAGAUUUUUCAUGAGAGGAUUAAUAAACUAAGAACUUAAAAAAAUAAAUGACAGCUAAAGCAUAAGGAGGGUUCAUGACAUGUGUUAGCACCAUUCUCAAUCCUUACGUGCGUUAGCUCUUUUAAUCUUGACAAUGCUGUGAAGUAAGGCACUAAUUACCUUCAUUUUUACAGAUAGACACUAGAGAAAUAAAGGAGUAAGGAGCCCAAGCCCACUUAGUCAUGACUUUUAAUGAGUCGGAAUUUGAAUCCAGGCAUUCUGACAACACACUCACUCAGGGUUUUUCCUUUCCUUAAGCCAAUGGAAAAAUCCCAAAUCUCAAAACCCCGGCCUGAGAGAAAUUCCUCUAUGUAAGAGGGAAAUACCAGAACCAUUCACACUCCUGUUUUCUUGUGUUCAUGGUGGACAGUUCUGGGUCCCACACUCAACAGGGAGUCUGCUUGGGAUUCUCUCCCUCUGCCUCUCCCCCCACUCUCACUCUCAAAAUCAUUGAAAAAAAAUUAAAAAUUGAAAGAAAAAAAAAAAAAAGCAAGCAAGCAAGGGAACAAACUGCCCACAGUCACCAUUAUACUGUUCUGGCUAACCCAAAACCAACACGUUUGGUUGACAAAUAUAUCAUUCUUAAUCAGAAAAUAACAACAACAA